UGUGUGUGUGUGUGUGUGUGUGUGUGUGCGGCCCCCCACUGACUUUUCUAGAUCAGGUGGUGUCAACGCCCCCUUCCCCAGUCCCUCCUGCAGCUGCGGGACUGGACGGCCUCUGUGCUCUGCUCUCCGCCUGACCUCCCGGCCAAAGGCUUCAGCAACCAGAUCCCGCUGGUGGCGCGGGGAAACUGCACCUUCUACGAGAAAGUGCGGCUGGCCCAGGGCGGCGGGGCGCGCGGACUGCUCAUCGUCAGCAGGGAGACACUGGUAGGGCCCCGGGGCCUCGAGACCGGGGUUUGGUUUGCUGACCGUGGCUGCGGACCCGUGUCUCUUGGAGGGGGACCUGUUCCUGAGCAGUCGCGGGGGCUCUGGGGAGACCGGAUCCCAUCUCGCUCUACAAGGCCUCGGGGCAGAGCUCGGGGGUACCCUCUGAGGAGCAGCUGGCAUGGGCCCACAUCCCACGUGCCUGCCUCUCCCCCAGGCAGGCCCCCCUCCCCCCCCCCAGAGCAGAGUGACACCUGAGCAACCUGACCCCAAGGCUUGAACACGGAAGGAGAGCUUUUCCUCCCCCGGUGGGGAGGGGCAGACCCCCCCCCCCCGCCACACACACACACACCCCGGCCCAAGCUGCCUCCGGGAGGGCUAGCUCUUCAGGCCGCCUCGCCCUUGGGAAGCCAAGGGCCCCCCUCCCGCCACACCCUCCUCUCGGCCCCCAGGUCCCUCCAGGAGGCAACAAGACACAGUACGAGGAGAUCGGCAUUCCCGUGGCCCUGCUCAGCUACAAAGACAUGCUAGACAUUUUCAAGGUAGGGUUUCCCACGUCCUCUGGUCUGCGGCUGUUGCCAGGCCGUGAGUAUCUGGCGGGCAGGGGUGGGCAGGGACCCACGAGUGAGGCCGCCCACCCGGGGCCGGUGGUGACACUGACCCGUGGGAACGGAGACGCUGGCCCCAGCGGUCAGAGCGCCCAGGCUCCGGGGCCUCUGUGCCGAGCGGCAGCCGGACACUGGCUUCCGGGCCAGACCGGCCGGCCCCGCCCACACGCCAGAGACCCUGAGCUUGGCUCUCCCUGCCCACACACGGCCCCGUCUGACCAGAGGCCUGUGUGCACCCACCAUCGGGGGAGUUGUUGGUUCCAGAACAGGCGAGCUUCCAGACACAAUUAAAAUGGAAACGUUCAAUCUUUGUGGAAGCUUCUGGCAAUUUGCAGGACAUGUCUCGAUCCUGAUUGCAGCCUCACAGCUCCCCCAAGGGAACCAUUGUCGGCCUCCUGCAUGCUUCCCGGGACGACGUCCCCACUCCCGCACGCGCACACGCAUCUAGGUUUAGGAUUCGUGUCCCCGCACGCGCGUGGGCCCCUUCACCGGACGUCGUGUGACACUCGUUCCGACAGUUGACUUCUCUGGGGUGGGAGUGGCAGGCGAAGGCUCUCCCCGGGCCCCGGCUCCCCACGCGUGGGCUGGUCUGGGCUCUCUGGGUGGCCGAGGGGGCGGGACGGCAGCCCCCGCCUUGAGCUCUGGUGCCUUCCCCGAGGCAGAGUUUUGGCCGAUCGGCGAGGGCAGCGCUGUAUGCCCCCAACGAGCCCAUGCUUGACUACAACAUGGUCAUCAUCUUCGUCAUGGCCGUCGGCACCGUCGCCCUCGGGGGCUACUGGGCCGGGAGCCGGGACGUGAGGAAGUGAGUGUCCCGGGGAGACCUCUCCCUGGCCGCCCAGGGAAGCCCGUGACGCGGUCGGUGCCGGGUUGGGGGUCCGCGGGUGGUCCUAGCACUGGCCGAGGGCAUCGCGCCUCUUUCCAUCAAAAGCGGCCGUCACGGCUUGGCUCCUCCUGGGGCUGGGGCCCGCCUGGCAGCCCCUCGCCGCGUGGUCUCGCGAGGUCCCCGGGGUGGGGUCCGGCUCUCUCGUCGAAGGGACGGCAGGGAUGUGUGAUGGGCGUGGAGGGGCCGCCCCUCAGCCCCGCGGACGCCUGCGUCCUGCUGCCCCUGCCCGCCCCUCCCCGUCCCCGUGCCGGCCGGCAGGGUGCCCCUGACCCGGCUGUGCCUCCCAAGAAGGUCCAUGAAACACAAGCGGGAUGACGGGCCCGAGAAGCGGGAGGACGAGGC
rnacentral:lncRNA from 1 species